rnacentral:rRNA from 1 species
GUGGGGAAUAUUGGACAAUGGGGGGAACCCUGAUCCAGCCAUGCCGCGUGUGUGAAGAAGGCCUUUUGGUUGUAAAGCACUUUAAGCGAGGAGGAGGCUACCGAGAUUAAUACUCUUGGAUAGUGGACGUUACUCGCAGAAUAAGCACCGGCUAACUCUGUGCCAGCAGCCGCGGUAAUACAGAGGGUGCAAGCGUUAAUCGGAUUUACUGGGCGUAAAGCGCGCGUAGGUGGCCAAUUAAGUCAAAUGUGAAAUCCCCGAGCUUAACUUGGGAAUUGCAUUCGAUACUGGUUGGCUAGAGUAUGGGAGAGGAUGGUAGAAGUCCAGGUGUAGCGGUGAAAUGCGUAGAGAUCUGGAGGAAUACCGAUGGCGAAGGCAGCCAUCUGGCCUAAUACUGACACUGAGGUGCGAAAGCAUGGGGAGCAAACAGGAUUAGAAACCCCUAGUAGUCC